rnacentral:misc_RNA from 1 species
AAGACUAUAGACCUGCGGAGUACCUGCGGAGGGAUCAUUAUAGAGAAAUAUGGGGUCCGGUAAACGGAUCCCCAGGGGGCACGGGGCGACCCGGCACCCGAUUCUCAACCCUAUGCGUGGGAUGACUGUCGUUGCUUUGGCGGGCUCGGGGCGCUUGGCCCCGCGUUGGCCCCGGGUCAUGUCCGCCCGUCAAAGGUCUACAAAACUCGAUUUUUUUCUAAUGGCGUCCGAGUGAGAUUA